ensembl:lncRNA novel transcript
UCUGCGCCCCCGCCCUGCCCUGCGAGGCCGCCGCCGCGCGCCCCACCGUCUGUUGCAGUGGAGCGUGAGCCGCGGCUGCGGCUCCUGGUUCUUGUGGAAGGUACCCUUGGAGGGACUGAGAUCCUAGGGAUUGCUGGAGCCUGGCUGCAUGGCCUGGCCACCCUGAUGCCCUUGCGUUCUCCGUGACAGGACAGCAAGGCUGAGGAGAAUGGCUCCCACAGCUUCAUGCACUCCAUGGACCCACAGCUGGAGCGGCAAAUGGAAACCACCCAGAACCUGGUGGACUCCUACAUGGCCAUUGUCAACAAGACCGUGUGGGACCUCAUGGUUGGUGCGAAGCCCAAGACCACCAUGCAUAUCAUGAUCUACAAUGUGCAUGCACCGCCUCAUGGGGACCAAGGAGUUCAUCUUCUCGGAGCUGCUGUCCAACCUGCGCUCGCGUGGGAACGAGAAGACACUCAUGGAGGAGUCGGCAGAGUAGGCACAGCGGCGCGACGAGAUGCUGCUUCUCAGAGCUGCUGUCCAACCUGCACUCGCUUGGGAACCAGAAGACACUCGUGGAGGAGUCGGCAGAGCAGGCACAGCGGCGCGACGAGACUCGCGUGGGAAGAAAUAGACACUCCUGGAGGAGUCGGCAGAGCAGGCACAGCGGCGCGACGAGACUCGCGUGGGAACGAGAAGACACUCCUGGAGGAGUCGGCAGAGCAGGCAGACCAAGGAGUUCAUCUUCUCGGAGCUGCUGUCCAACCUGCACUCGCGUAGGGACAAGAAGACACUCCUGCAGGAGUCGGCGGAGCAGGCAGACCAAGGAGUUCAUCUUCUCAGAGCUGCUGUCCAACCUGCACUCGCGUGGGAACGAGAAGACACUCCUGGAGGAGUCGGCGGAGCAGGCACAGCGGCGCGACGAGAUGCUGCGCAUGCACCACGUGCUGAAAGAGGCUCUCAGCAUCAUCGGCAACAUCAACACGAACACCGUCAGCACAGCUACGGGGGCCCGUGGACGACGCCUAGCUGCAGCAGCCAAGCCCAGCAAAAGAAUGGCAUACGGGAGUUGCUGCACAAGCCUGGGUGCUCCACGCUGUCAGUGAGGCUCACCUCACAAAGAUCUUUGGAGAGAAGGAGGUGGGGAUCCGAGUGCAGUGAGAGCCUCCCCUGCCCCUGCCUGCCCACCCUGCCUGAGGACUCUACUCACCACCAUGCUUAUCAGCACCCACAAGCUCCUGGGGGGCUGGGGCUCCUGGACCAGGCUCAUCAGCAAGCUUCAGGGCAGUGGCCGGGAAUUUGCUGUGUCCCUCGUUGUAGUCACCACAAGCCGCAACAUCUUCUCCAGCAGCUCCAGCAGCUUCACCUGGAGGGAGGGGUGCUCAGCUGUUAUGCAUCUACCGGCGCCCACCCUCACGCCCACCCCCACCCCUGCAGAGAUGUUGCACACCCUACCUUCAUCUCCUCCAUGUCCUGGGCCAGCCUGAUGAUGUCCUCCUCCAGUUGCCGCAUCUUUGGCACUGCCCCCUGGCUGUGUUCUAGGGUGAUGAACUUUCCUGCAGGAGGACAGGGCUCAGACGCUGAGGUCCCUCCGACGGCCCUGCAGCUCCCCCUGCCGUGCCCUGGCCUCCCACUAACUGAUGACUUCUGUCUUUCCAGUACUGGAUGAAUCGAAGUUCUAGUUUCUCCGCUCGCUCCCUCAGGUCCACCUUCUCCUCCAGGAGGUCCAUAAGGCCACUCUGGAGCCAAAAUAAUGGGGUCACAUCUCGGCAGCAACACCCACCCCUGCCCUUCUUGGCCCAUGCCAGGACUCAGUCACCUCCAGCUUCUCCAUGACCUCCUGCAUGGCCCGGUGGGUCUCCCCACUCACAGACUGGCCCCUAGUCACUGGGGCUGGGACCGCUGCCUCUGGCUUCUGCUGGGCCGAGGCCACCAGGUGAGCCAUGCGCUGGCAGCACACCCUCUGCUCUUUCACCUGCUCUCAUAACCGUGCCUGCUCCUCCUGGGCAUUGGCUCCAGCGGAGUUGAAAAAUGCAACCUGAGGGCAAGAGGUGAGCAUUCUUGUAGGGGCAUACACAGAACGAACGGGGCAGAGAGGUGGAGUGCAGCCUCUUCCCUUGGGGCCUCAGAGAGUGCAUCUGUUGGUCACAGGUGAAAUGGUGUCUGACCACUGGCUCCUGGAAGGGAUGAGGGUCCAGAGAAAUCAGAAGGCAGGGAAACCAAGAGCAUAAAGGGGUCUUGGAGGGACCACAGAGGAAGGUGGCAAAAUGGGUACAGGGGGAGUCAGGCUCACCGUGGCCUCCCAGCUCUCCAGGUCCUCUGGGUUGCUUGGCAUGGGCCGAGGUGCCUCCUCCUCACUGUCCAGAUGUCCUCCUCUAUCUCCUGUGGGGGGUGGCCAGAAGGGUCCUCAGACAGCCCAAUAAGGGAGGUACUGUGGGCCCACCUCUGCCUCCACCCUCACUGUGUAACACUGAGCCAGCCACUACCCAGAGAGCAGCUGCUGUUCUUUAUUUUUACUUUUAAGAACCAAGAUCAGGCAUAGUCCCACUACCAGUCGAUGUGGGAGUUCUGACCCGCUCCCUUUCUGACCUGGGCCAGUUCAGCCAUCCUUAGGCAACUUGGUGGCCCCCCGCUCCCAGGAGGACAUCAUAUUGAUGCCAAACUUAGUGCGGGCACCCGGUCGGCAUAGGGACCAGCUGUUCUAAAGGUCUCUUCCAACCUUUGCCUUUUUCUUUGCUGCGGCCAAUUUGCUCUGUUGAGUUUCUUCUGCCAUUGCGGGGUGGGGAGGGAGGCGGGGUUGGGGCCACGUGAGCAAAAUCCCAGUGAGCACUGAUGAACACCUCCACUUGCCUACCAGGCAGCUGUGUGACUGAGCCCGAGGAGGCACAACUAGGGCCCCCAUAGAAUGCAGAACAGGGGCGUGGCCUUAAUGCUCCAAGCCCAUUGGUCAAUGACAAAGAUGAAAGGGAAAGGGGGUGUGGCCAGGCAGCAGUAUGUCCAGAGGGACCUGUGGCUCACAAGGAAAGCUGUCCAUGCAACUGCUGUCCCCGCCUACUCUGAGGGGAGGGGCCGCCCCCUCUGGGAGAGGGGAGGGGCCG